rnacentral:lncRNA from 1 species
AUGGGUUGGACCACAUUUGAAAAUGGGCAAGAAUGGGCUUUACUGUUCUCCACGGUCUCAGAUUUGGGUUGGAAAGAUUCCUGUGAGUCUGAAUGUAACGUGUCUGUCCUUUUGUGGUCCACACAGGUGUACCACGGGCGGUGGUGGCCGUGCGGGCUCGCCCGCCGUGGGGCAGCCUGGCGUCCCUCCGCGUCUCACACUCACGGGAAAUCGGGUCCGCACAGGCGACCUCUCCUUGGGGCGGGCGUCUCAGCCAGGAGGCCCAGCGCCUGGGAUGUCUCUGUGCCCGGCUGUCUCUUUACUUUGUGUUUUCACCUGCGUGGCUGUGUGGCUGGUGCGGAUUGGUGCCUGCGGGUUCUAGGCUGCAGGAGCCCAGCGGUGGGCAGGGUGGGGUGCAUCGCAGCCCAAGGUGAACCGGCACCUGUCCUCUGUGGGUGUGGCUUCUGUGUCACGCAUCUCCUGGCUUUGCCACCAGAGGCUUGGGGUUGGUUUCUUUGGUCUCAAGGUUGGGGACCCCUGGAAGAGGACCCCUUGUCCACCCAGAAGAAGCAAGCGGCCCUUCUGAGAGUAGCAGGGAGGCGGGGCUGUGACAUGCAUAAAGCUCCGCCUGCGGCCAGGCCCCUCCUGAGUCCGACAUGGCCCAGGCGUCGCCUGGAAGGAGGAGGAGGCGGCCUGGGCGUGGGGGCCCCAGCCCUCUCCUCACAGCCUCUUCCUGCACAGACCCCUGCAAGUGUGCAGGGAAUGUGGGCACCGCCUGGGGAGCUGACCAGCUCCCUUGACCUCAAUGGGGGUCGGGUCUCAUCCAGGCCUGGUGGAGCUCCCCUGUCAGGGGCAGAGACAUGGGUUGGACCACAUUUGAAAAUGGGCAAGAAUGGGCUUUACUGUUCUCCACGGUCUCAGAUUUGGGUUGGAAAGAUUCCUGUGAGUCUGAAUGUAACGUGUCUGUCCUUUGUGGUCCACACGAGUGACCUAAGUCAGGGCAACGAGGAGGUGGGUGGGUGGACACGGGCCUGGGGCUGUUGCCCGCGCCGCCUCCCUGAGGCAGGGCUCUGGGAUGAAGCGUGCGGGUCUCCACAUUUUCAGAGAACAGUAAGCAAGGCAACAACGGCGUGUGCGUCUUGCUUUCUUGAAACAUCGAGGACUGAUGGGAGUGGCCCCAGGGUGGCCCCAGGGUGGCCAGUUGUUGCUGAGUUUAACGUUCGUUUAGAAGAUGUUUCAGGCGAGAGGCUGUCUGCAGGGCCUCCGUGGCGUCUGAACGUGUGUGUGUGUGUCUUCUCAGGGUGUGGUAACUGCCGCCACCAGCCUCAUCACCACCUUGGCACAGAAGAACCGGAAGAGUUCAAGACCUCUGUGUCUCUGGCCGUCUCCAGGUUAAGCAGAAUCGUGACGCCGGCCUCCACGGACCUUCAGGAUUACACCUACUACUUUGUCCCGGCCCCUGGCUGUCGGUCAAGCUCCUGCGGCUCCUGCAGUGCUACCCGCCCCAGGUAA